rnacentral:rRNA from 1 species
UGGGGAAUUUUGGACAAUGGACGCAAGUCUGAUCCAGCCAUGCCGCGUGCGGGAAGAAGGCCUUCGGGUUGUAAACCGCUUUUGUCAGGGAAGAAACGAGUUUCUCUAAUACAGAGACUUAAUGACGGUACCUGAAGAAUAAGCACCGGCUAACUACGUGCCAGCAGCCGCGGUAAUACGUAGGGUGCGAGCGUUAAUCGGAAUUACUGGGCGUAAAGCGUGCGCAGGCGGUUAUGCAAGACAGAUGUGAAAUCCCCGGGCUCAACCUGGGACCUGCAUUUGUGACUGCAUAGCUAGAGUACGGCAGAGGGGGAUGGAAUUCCGCGUGUAGCAGUGAAAUGCGUAGAUAUGCGGAGGAACACCGAUGGCGAAGGCAAUCCCCUGGGCCUGUACUGACGCUCAUGCACGAAAGCGUGGGGAGCAAACA